UCCACCACCCGAACCGACUCCGUGAUCGAGAAUCCACCAAGCACCAACCACCGUCUCUCUUAUAUACGCGUUCCCCUCGCCCCGUUCUCUCCUGCUCCCAGGACCGCCCGUCGCAGGGACGGCUCAUCUUCGUUCCGUCGCGGGGAUCGUGAGAUCUCAUGGGUUAUCUCUUCUUUUUGAUUAAGUGGUGGACGAUUCGCCUCUCCAAAUACAUGUCUAUCCCUUAAGCGAAGGGAUUUUGUGGCCUUCCGUUUGUGACGGCUGAAUCGGUUGAUGCGUCAGAUCCGUCAGUUUAUGCCAUCUGCUUCCUGUUCGCAUGCCCCUGUGGAUGUUUAUCUCCGUGGAACGCCACUCCUGCUGGUUCAUCUUCACUGGUUUAUGAUGCCCACGGCCAACGCCACUGAAAUCUUCUAAGACGAUGGUUGGUGGUUAAGCUGAAGAAUGCUUUCUUGAGGCUUUCUUGUCUCCGCAAGGCGCCAGAAGAAAACGGGCCAUCCGAUAUAUGGUUUCUGUUUGCCGAUCAAAUGAUGUACGUGUUCCCUUCGGCUCACAAGAUGAUGCUGGCCUGUCUCCAAGCAUCACAGAAAGGUAAUUGUGUUGGUAAGCUGAUGAUGCGCAUGUGAGCACAUGCGUAUUGUACUACUUGAUGUACCAGUACAUUGGUAGGCUAGGACGGCCUUUGCCAUGUCGGGUGCGCUCGCCUUGGCAGGCCACGAGACAAUAAAAAGUAUAUUUGGUGGUGUUUGCGGGGUGGAGAUCGCACGGGAACAAUCUAUUUGUUCUACUUUGCCCGGGUUCUCCACCCUGCCAUGUGUCUCUGUCCUUCUCCUGUGUUUGAUUUUGCGGCAUCAACUGAAGUACACCACGAUCCUACAUAGCAAAUAUGUCAGACAGGCCUGGGCGCAGCGGUAACUACGUUGUGAGGAUCAAUUUAACUACGCACGAAGGUACAUCUAACUGCUUCUUUCAGCGUUAUAUCAAUUUAAAUUUGAAGUGACCCUGAAACAUUGGUACCCUUUUCUGAAGGGUCAAUCUGAACUGACCUCGUAGUUGUCGAUCCAAAAAUGCUUGUGCGAGCAACUGUAUAAAUGGUGGACCUUCAGUUUGAUACAAGGUUGAUCAUACCCGUAAUUUUGUACCCUUGCACCCCGAGAAUGAAAAUAGGGAAAUUCCCACCAUCUACUUGCGCAACACGGGCUAAGUGAUCCUGAGAACUUUUAAUAACUCUGCAUAUUUAUUUUAUCUUACCAUGCCGUGUCCGUAGUCUUGUGGUCCUAAGAAGGCGAGUUGCUUGCAUUUCCUGUUGGUUACCAUGAGUACUUCUCUAUGUAUGACUUGAUUCCUUUGUGUACAACUAGUUAGUCUUCGAAAUUUAUUUGUAUACUUAGUUACUGGAGCUUGUCCAAAUAUUGCUGCUGCAUCAUACUACCUCACGUGGAAAGUUGGAUUCGUUUUGAGGAUUACUGGAGGCAGAUCUUCAUAUCUAAUGAAGUUGCAGACCAGUUAUGAUUGUCAAUGCCAUUUUCGCUCUUAAGAAAUGUUGCUAGUGUUUGAUAUACUGAAACCUGAAUUGAAGAAUGUGUUGAUAUAUUCUGUAAGGUGCAGGCGCUGCGUCGAGGAAGCCUGGUUAGUUACGCAAUUUCAGCUCGCUGAUUGCCUGCUUAAAUUGCAAUAUGUAAGAUUAGAGAACCCAGCGUGCGGUUUUUUCAUAGCUUAAAAUGUCUUCUGUGAAGACUGACUUAUUAUGAACUGUGAUUCAAUUUAUUGAAUAUUUUUUUACAGUUUGUAAUUCUUAUUUUUAUGCUUUCCUUCUAACAAGAAUAUGCUGAAUGUCUUUCUGAUUUAUUUUAGUGAGCAGGCAAAUUCAAAUUGGCUGAAAGUCGUUUCAAGUUAGAUUGGAUUGGAGAAUUUUGCUCUGCAUGGCUCGUCUUGGCUUGAUCUGAAUAUUUUUGAUUUGUCAAACAAAUCUAUAAUUUAAUUUGUCUUCUAACAUUUGUCUAACAAUAGCUAUGCAUUCUUUUAACCUUUGUCUUAACAAAGUUGUUAAAAACAAAAUUAUGUAAUUUUUUCAGUAUAAGCAGGCUUAUUCAAAGUGGGUUUGUUUCAAAUCAAAUUCAAUUGGAUUGGAGAAGAAUCUUGGGGCUGUGCUCGAGUCUGAAAUGGCUUGAUCUGCAUAUUUUGUCAACUUAAAAGAUUAAAAGAUAAAAGAUGAAUAAAUGGUGGAUCUUCAGCUCUGAACUGGAAAGAGCAUUCUAGCAAACAAAUUGCUGGGAAUGAUGGUUCGACUCCAUCAAGAUCCUUUGUUUGAGAGUAGUAUCUUCUUAGGGGCCAUGAUGGUAUUUGCAGGAACCGGGGCCAUUCAGUCUCGUCAUUUCAUCGUGGUCCGUAGACGUGGGAAAUACCGUUGUGGCGGGCGGCACAUGCCAUGCAUUGAGAACCUAAUCUGUCAACAUCUUUUUAUGAACGCAAGACCAAUGCCCUCUUUUUAUUGAGUUGCGUUCGCCAACAUCUUUUUAUGAACGCAAAACCAGUGCCCUCUUCUUAUUGAGCUGUUGGGUUUGACUACUCCCCCUCACUCAGUUUACAGGGCGUACCUCUAGGACGUCAGUUUAUAACCGUAAUACAAGUCAUAUAUUAUAAAAAAUAUAUCAAUAUGAACUUCAGAUGUUCUAUUUUUGAACGGUAUAAUUUUUGUGUUAUAUAGUUUAUAUUAGGAUGAUAAAAUUGGUAGCCUAGGUAUACACGCAGGACUUGUAAACUGAAACGGAGGGAGUAAUUGAGAUGCGAGUCUUGGGAGACGUAAGGUUGGUUUCGUUCUUGAUGAGCAAAUUAAAUCCUGUUGGAGCUUGGUGAGCAAAUUAAAUCCUGUUGGAGCUCUGGGCAACAAAUUGAAUUGAAAAUCUCCAAGACGUGGCUGGUAAUCUGGAUAGGUUAAUGAAAUUAGAGCACACAAGUUAUCUUCCUAAAAAGAAAUUAGAGCACACAAGUUAUCUUCCUAAAAAGCUUGAUGGGGCUCGUAAGAGAUUUAUCUCUUUCUAAAAGAAAUGAUCGGUUGACUAUUUUAUAGAGGAAGAGAAUUCUUAGAAAGAUGGAAGAGCUCCUUAUCAAGGAGAAAAUUAUGUGGAAGCAGAAAAUUUGGAUUCAUUUUCCCUUUCUUGCAGGCUCAUGCAAGGGCUUUAUCUCUGUACUCUUCCGGCAUAGGUCUGUCCUUGGAUGCGUGUGAUAAAGGGUCCCUUCUAAAAUUUCAUAUCAACAAACAGGAUUCAGGUUGGUGACUCAGCAAGGUAUUAUGCAUGGACUGGAACUUCUAAAAAAAGGGUUAUUUGAAGAGCGUUUGAUGGAUCUAGUAUAAAUAUUUGGAUCCUUAUGAUUUCUAGUCUAAAGAUUUUAGCUAAAAAUAAUAGAACCAUGUCAAAUGGGUGUCAUGAGCAGGUCGAAGAAGGGAUGUAAAUUUGAUCACUCACUCAUUCUAUCCUCAUGAUGCCGAAGAAAUUCUAAACAUGUGUAUUCAAGGCUCGGUGGACAAACGAUUUUUAUUGCGGGUGCAUAAUCUGGCGUUUGAAGCUUAAGGAGCGUAAGGAGGAUUGUGGGCAAUCAAGUGGAGGCGUGAAUGGGGAUAAGGAGCUUUGGAAUGUCAUAUAGAAGGCCAAUGUCCAUCAGAAGAUCAGAAUUUUGUUUGGCAUGCGAUAUCUAAUAGCCUGAUGGUCCAGGUGAAUAGACUUAUGCACCAUCUGGAUGGUAAUUUUGUGGAGAGUAUUUGCGCUCCCAGUUUGGGGUUGUUGCCAAAAAUUCAGUUGGCGACCUCCUUACCUCCUCUUGAGAUUAUAUUGAUAAAGCAGAGCUUCAAAUGUGUCUCGCU